UGGGCGUAAGGGCUCGCAGGCGGUUUCUUAAGUCUGAUGUGAAAGCCCCCGGCUCAACCGGGGAGGGUCAUUGGAAACUGGGAAACUUGAGUGCAGAAGAGGAGAGUGGAAUUCCACGUGUAGCGGUGAAAUGCGUAGAGAUGUGGAGGAACACCAGUGGCGAAGGCGACUCUCUGGUCUGUAACUGACGCUGAGGAGCGAAAGCGUGGGGAGCGAACAGGAUUAGAUACCCUGGUAGUCCACGCCGUAAACGAUGAGUGCUAAGUGUUAGGGGGUUUCCGCCCCUUAGUGCUGCAGCUAACGCAUUAAGCACUCCGCCUGGGGAGUACGGUCGCAAGACUGAAACUCAAAGGAAUUGACGGGGGCCCGCACAAGCGGUGGAGCAUGUGGUUUAAUUCGAAGCAACGCGAAGAACCUUACCAGGUCUUGACGUCCUCUGACAACCCUAGAGAUAGGGCUUUCCCUUCGGGGACAGAGUGACAGGUGGUGCAUGGUUGUCGUCAGCUCGUGUCGUGAGAUGUUGGGUUAAGUCCCGCAACGAGCGCAACCCUUGAUCUUAGUUGCCAGCAUUCAGUUGGGCACUCUAAGGUGACUGCCGGUGACAAACCGGAGGAAGGUGGGGAUGACGUCAAAUCAUCAUGCCCCUUAUGACCUGGGCUACACACGUGCUACAAUGGACAGAAC
rnacentral:rRNA from 1 species